rnacentral:rRNA from 1 species
UACGUAGGGACCGAGCGUUGUCCGGAAUCAUUGGGCGUAAAGAGCGUGUAGGCGGCCUUUUAAGUCCUGCGUGAAAUCCUGCGGCUCAACCGCAGACGGUCGUGGGAAACUGGAAGGCUAGAGUGCGGGAGAGGAGAGUGGAAUUCCCGGUGUAGCGGUGAAAUGCGCAGAUAUCGGGAAGAACACCCGUGGCGAAGGCGGCUCUCUGGGACGGUACUGGACGGCUGAGACGCGAAAAG